UCGAGAAUUUUUCACAAUGGGCGAAAGCCUGAUGGAGCGACGCCGCGUGGGGGAUGAAUGGCUUCGGCCCGUAAACCCCUGUCAUUCGCGAGCAAACGUUAUUAUUUAAAAGAUGAUAGCCUGAUAGUAGCGAAAGAGGAAGGGACGGCUAACUCUGUGCCAGCAGCCGCGGUAAUACAGAGGUCCCAAGCGUUGUUCGGAUUUACUGGGCGUAAAGGGUGCGUAGGUGGUGGGGUAAGUCGGAUGUGAAAUCUCCGAGCUCAACUCGGAAAGUGCAUUGGAAACUACCCUGCUCGAGGGUUGGAGGGGGAACUGGAAUACUUGGUCUAGCAGUGAAAUGCGUAGAUAUCAAGUGGAACACCAGUGGCGAAGGCGAGUCCCUGGACAACCCCUGACACUGAGGCACGAAAGCUAGGGGAGCAAACAG
rnacentral:rRNA from 1 species